rnacentral:rRNA from 1 species
UACGUAGGGGGCGAGCGUUGUCCGGAGUUACUGGGCGUAAAGCGCUUGUAGGCGGUCCACCAAGUUUGGGGUGACAGUUGCCGACUUAAUCGGCAAAGUGCCUCAAAGACUGGCGGACUUGAGGGCCACAGAGGGACAUGGAACUCCAGGUGUAGUGGUGAAAUGCGUAGAUAUCUGGAAGAACACCAAAGGCGAAGGCAGUGUCCUGGGUGGUCGCUGACGCUGAGAGGCGAAAGCCAGGGGGGCGAACGGG